rnacentral:rRNA from 1 species
GCGAGGGAAAGGUGAAAAGAACCCCGGGAGGGGAGUGAAAAAGAACCUGAAACCUUAUGCUUACAAGCAGAGGGAGCGCAAGUGACCUCGUACUUUUUGUAGAACGGGCCAACGAGUUGCGGUAUAUGGCAAGGUUAAGGUGUUAAGCACCGGAGCCGUAGCGAAAGCGAGUCUUAAAAGGGCCAGAGUCGUAUGCUGCAGACCCGAAACCGGGUGACCUAUCCAUGUGCAGGUUGAAGCGGGAGUAAAAUCUCGUGGAGGACCGAACCCAUAUCCGUUGAAAAGGGUUGGGAUGACGUGUGGAUAGCGGUGAAAUUCCAAUCGAACUCGGAGAUAGCUGGUUCUCCUCGAAAUAGCUUUAGGGCUAGCCUCGGAAUGAGAUACGCGGAGGUAGAGCACUGAAUAUCCUAGGGGCCUUCACCGGCUACCGAAGAUUAUCAAACUCCGAAUGCCGCAGUAUCAUGUCCGGGAGUCAGACUAUGUGAGAUAAGUUUCAUAGUCGAAAGGGAAACAGCCCAGACCAACAGCUAAGGUCCCAAAGUUCAGGUUAAGUGGAAAAGGAUGUGGAGCUGCAUAGACAACUAGGACGUUGGCUUAGAAGCAGCCACUCAUUUAAAGAGUGCGUAAUAGCUCACUAGUCGAGUGACUCUGCGCCGAAGAUAAACGGGGCUGAAACCUGACACCGAAGCUUUGGAUACAUUAUGUAUGGUAGAGGAGCAUCGUAUACGGGCAGAAGCGUGACCGUAAGGAAACGUGGACUGUAUACGAGAGAGAAUGUUGGCAUGAGUAGCGAGAGGCAGGUGAGAAUCCUGCCCGCCGAAAAUCUGAGGAUUCCUGAGGAAGGUUCGUCCGCUCAGGGUAAGUCGGGACCUAAGCCGAGAACGAAAGUUGUAGGCGAUGGACAACAGGUUGAGAUUCCUGUACCACCGAGGAUCAUUUGAAUGAAGUGGGGACGCAGGAGGAUAGGCUGAGCGCGCCGUUGGUGGAGCGCGUCCAAGCACGGAGGGAGUUGACCAGGCAAAUCCGGUCAGCGAGUUCCUGACGUGUGAUGGGGAGGGAAAACAAGUACCGAAGCAGCUGAUUUCACACUGCCAAGAAAAGCCGCUGGUGAGAUCCAAGGUGCCCGUACCGCAAACCGACACAGGUAGAUGAGGAGAGAAUCCUAAGGCGAGCGAGAGAACUAUUGUUAAGGAACUCGGCAAAAUGACCCCGUAACUUAGGGAGAAGGGGUGCUGCAGAAAUGCAGCCGCAGUGAAGAGGCCCAGGCGACUGUUUACCAAAAACACAGGUCUCUGCGAAAGCGAAAGCUGAAGUAUAGGGGCUGACGCCUGCCCGGUGCUGGAAGGUUAAGGGGAAGUGUCAGGGCGACCGAAGCACAGAACUUAAGCCCCAGUAAACGGCGGCCGUAACUAUAACGGUCCUAAGGUAGCGAAAUUCCUUGUCGGGUAAGUUCCG